AGGAUGCAUUUUGGGCAUGUGGAAUUGAUGGGGCUUUGUGGAGUUGCGGGUUCUUGAGUUCACUCUGGGGAAUGUUUCACCAGAGCUCCUGGUUCAGCGGCGCACGAUGGCAGAGCUUACACAGGCCAGGGAAGCAAGCCCCCUUUUCCUGCGCUGAGAGGAUUCUGCUCAAGGAACACAUGGAUUCCAUUCUUGGAUUUGAAGACAAUUUGGCGUGUGAAUAUGGGAGGCCUGGCAUGGUAUGGAGCCAAUUCAAAGCAGAGCAGAAUCAAGGCCAGGGCCACUUUGCACUCAAUCAUGGCAAACUGCUGACCAAUGCAGUUCCUGGAGAGACCAAGGGGGAAAUAUGGUAGCUGGUGAAUUAAUAUGUUAUUAGAAACCUGAGACAAUCUUUUCAUAUAUAACAACUUUU